AUUAAAGUUGCUGCAGUUAAAAAGCUCGUAGUUGGAUUUCGGUAAGUAAAAAUUUAACAUCCAUCUCUAAGAUGUGAUUUAAUUUUUAUUUCCUUCCUUUUGAAUACACUCCCUAAAAUUUAUUUUAGGGACUCAGUGUUUCAAAUCGUUUACUGUGAAGAAAUUAGAGUGUUCAAAGCAGGCGUAACCUAGCCUUUGAAUAUAUUAGCAUGGGAUAAUGAAAUAGGACUUUAGUCCUACUUUCGUUGGUUUCUAGGGCUGAAGUAAUGAUUAAUAGGGAUAGUUGGGGUCACUAGUAUUUAAUUGUCAGAGGUGAAAUUCUAAGAUUUAUUAAAGACUAACUACUGCGAAAGCAUUUGACAAGGAUGUUUUCAUUAAUCAAGAACGAAAGUUGGGGGAUCGAAGAUGAUCAGAUACCGUCGUAGUCUCAACCAUAAACUAUGCCGACCAAGGAUCCGGGGUUGUUAAUAUGGAUGACUCUCCGGGCACUUAUAGAGAAAUCAUAAGUAUUUGGGCUCCGGGGGGAGUAUGGUCGCAAGGCUGAAACUUAAAGGAAUUGACGGAAGGGCACCACAAGGAGUGGAACCUGCGGUUUAAUUUGACCCAACACGGGGAAACUUACCAGGUCCAGACACAGUGAGGAUUGACAGAUUGAGAGUUCUUUCUUGAUUCUGUGAGUGGUGGUGCAUGGCCGUUUCUAGUUGGUGGAGUGAUUUGUCUGGUUAAUUCCGUUAACGAACGAGACCUUAACCUAUUAAAUAGUUGAUUGAACUUGAUUUCUAAAAUCAAAUGUUCAACUAACUUCUUAGAGGGACUCUUCACUGAGAGAGUGAAUGGAAGUUUGAGGCAAAAACAGGUCUGUGAUGCCCUUAGAUGUUCUGGGCCACACGCGCGUUACACUGACAUAUUCAACGAGCAUUAUCCUUGCCCGUCGGGGUUGGGUAAUCUUUUAAAUGUAUGUCGUGCUGGGGAUAGAUCAUUGUAAUUAUUGGUCUUGAACGAGGAAUUCCUAGUAAGUGCGAGUCAUCAACUCGCGCUGAUUACGUCCCUGCCCUUUGUACACACCGCCCGUCGCUCCUACCGAUUGAAUGGUCCGGCGAGAACUCAGGAUGGAUAUGGAUUUUGGACACCGUUAGGUGUUCCAACCAUAUCCAGAAUUUGUUCAA
rnacentral:rRNA from 1 species